rnacentral:tRNA from 1 species
GUCCCGGUAGCUCAGUUGGAUAGAGCAACGGCCUUCUAAGCCGUCGGUCGGGAGUUCGAAUCUCUUCCGGGACGCCA